rnacentral:rRNA from 4 species
GGUGAGUAAUGUCUGGGAAACUGCCUGAUGGAGGGGGAUAACUACUGGAAACGGUAGCUAAUACCGCAUAACGUCGCAAGACCAAAGAGGGGGACCUUCGGGCCUCUUGCCAUCGGAUGUGCCCAGAUGGGAUUAGCUAGUAGGUGGGGUAACGGCUCACCUAGGCGACGAUCCCUAGCUGGUCUGAGAGGAUGACCAGCCACACUGGAACUGAGACACGGUCCAGACUCCUACGGGAGGCAGCAGUGGGGAAUAUUGCACAAUGGGCGCAAGCCUGAUGCAGCCAUGCCGCGUGUAUGAAGAAGGCCUUCGGGUUGUAAAGUACUUUCAGCGGGGAGGAA